rnacentral:rRNA from 1 species
AAAAAAAAACACGUGAGUAACCUGCCCUUGACUUUGGGAUAACUUCAGGAAACUGGGGCUAAUACCGGAUAGGAGCUCCUGCUGCAUGGUGGGGGUUGGAAAGUUUCGGCGGUUGGGGAUGGACUCUCGGCUUAUCAGCUUGUUGGUGUGGUAGUGGCUUACCAAGGCUUUGACCGGUAGCGGUCCUGAGAGGGUGACCGGACACAUUGGGAAUGAGAUACGGCCCAGACUCCUACUGGAGGAAGAAGUGGGGAAUAUUGAAAAAUGGGCGGAAGCCUGAUGCAGCAACUUUUUUUUUUU